rnacentral:tRNA from 1 species
GGGGAUGUGGCGAAACUGGCAGACGCGCUAGAUUUAGGAUCUAGUUCCGCAAGGAGUGCAGGUUCAAUUCCUGUCAUCCCCAC